UCAACACACCAAUAAAUCCAUAGCAUUUCCUAAUUUACCAAACAACAUCAAAAGCACGUGUAGAAAAUUAACACAAAUACUACUUGUUUCUCUAUAAAGAAGAUAGCAUACCUGAACGCAGUUAAAGAACUUAGCAUCCUUAUUUUCAGAUUCAAUAGCAUACAUUGUUGGAUAAGUCACCUUGUACUUUUUGCGGGCUUUGCCGACUUGAAAGGACAUCCAGAAGUUGAGGAAA